UCAGGAUGAACGCUAGCUACAGGCUUAACACAUGCAAGUCGAGGGGCAUCAGGAGAAAGCUUGCUUCUUGCUGGCGACCGGCGCACGGGUGAGUAACGCGUAUCCAACCUUCCCCCCAGUAGGGCAUAGCCCGGCGAAAGUCGGAUUAAUACCCUAUGUUGUGUCAUGAGGACAUCUGAAUAACACCAAAGAUUUAUCGCUGGGGGAUGGGGAUGCGUCCGAUUAGGUUGUUGGCGGGGUAACGGCCCACCAAGCCCGCGAUCGGUAGGGGUUCUGAGAGGAAGGUCCCCCACACUGGUACUGAGACACGGACCAGACUCCUACGGGAGGCAGCAGUGAGGAAUAUUGGUCAAUGGACGAGAGUCUGAACCAGCCAAGUAGCGUGCAGGACGACGGCCCUAUGGGUUGUAAACUGCUUUUAUGCGGGGAUAAAGUGAGGUAUGUAUACCUUUUUGUAGGUACCGCAUGAAUAAGGACCGGCUAAUUCCGUGCCAGCCGCUGC
rnacentral:rRNA from 1 species